GACAGAGGUGGCGAGCGUUGCUCGGAUUUACUGGGCGUAAAGCGCACGUAGGCGGUGCGGUAAGUCAGGGGUUAAAGGCUGCAGCUCAACUGCAGUAAGGCCUUUGAUACUAUCGUGCUAGAGUGUCAGAGAGGAUGGCGGAAUUCCCGGUGUAGCGGUGAAAUGCGUAGAUAUAGGGAGGAACACCGGUUGCGAAGGCGGCUACCUGGCCGGUAACUGACGCUGAGGUGCGAGAGCGUGGGGAGCAAACAGG
rnacentral:rRNA from 1 species